UACGGAGGGUGCGAGCGUUGUUCGGAAUCACUGGGCGUAAAGCGCGUGUAGGCGGCCCACUAAGUCUGAUGUGAAAGCCCGGGGCUCACCCCCGGAAGUGCAUUGGAAACUGGUGGACUCGAGUCCCGGAGAGGAGAGUGGAAUUCCUGGUGUAGCGGUGAAAUGCGUAGAUAUCAGGAGGAACACCGGUGGCGAAGGCGCUCUGCUAGGCCGCAACUGACACUGAGGGACGAAAGCUAGGGGAGCGAAUGGG
rnacentral:rRNA from 1 species